AAAAUAAAAUCUUAGUUAUUACUCAGAAAGUUUUAUUAUUGAGAGACUUUCCUGGCCAUUGUAGGAUUUAAUCUGUAGUAAGUAGGCAUCAGUUAAAAUUAAGAAAGGUAACAAACAGAUAUCUAGAUAGAAGACUGAAAAGCAAUGCUGGGAAUGGCUAGAGAUGUUGGUUGAUAUAUCUCUAGAGAAAAAAGCUAAAUUAAGAAUUUCCUCAUAUCUACGAACAAAAAAGAGGUUUCUUUAUUGAAAGAUGGUAUG